AAUGCAAUGUUCCAAAAGAAAUAAAUUAGGAAAUCAAUCAAUCAAUCAAUCAAUCUUUCUUUGAAUGAAAUCACUUUUAUUUUGAAAGAGUACAGGGUUAUGGAAUGAUAUUGAAAGUAGGUUUUCAUGUGUGUGCAGGAGCAUUUAGGCCAUAGCAUUGAAUGACGUCUUAUUAUUAUUAUUCUUACGAUGUUCCCUGUGAGAUCAUUGAUGAUCCGCCAAUGAAAACACAGAAGUAGUAGAAGAAGAAGAUUAUAGGUUGCAGAUGUUGCGCAUGGGCUCAUCGGCGCUAAUUGAAAUCAGCUGUGAGGGAACGGAUAAAAGGGAACCGGAGGAGCUUCAGUCGUGGUCCGGCUCCGCUCCGGUGCGGUCGAGGCUCCAGGCAGAGACGCUGAAGCGAGUGAUGCGACAUGUGGAGGAGCUUUAGAAACGUCCGUGCAGCUCGUCCUGUGGCCUCUUCUCUUGUCUUGUCUUUGUGUGUUUUUUCUUAGUUAGUCGAAUGGGAGGUUCGACGCUGCAGAUGAGCGCAGAGCCUCCCGCUGCUUCCGCCGAUUCGGAGGCGAAGGCCCCGAAGAGACGAUUGGAAGCGAACCGAACAUUGGGAUCAGUGUGUGGAGCUUUGGGCCUCAGCGCGGCGAGCUGAAAGUGUGUUCCUCCAUGUUGUCUUUUUUUCCUCUUGUUUUUUCCUCCAGUGUGUGGUUUUCGCUUGCGGUGCUCAGCGCUGCCGGGGUUUCCUGGUUGCGUUUGGUGCCGAGGCCAUCAUCGCUCAGCAGAAGCAGAAAGGCGAGGAUUUUAAUGUCAAGUCAAGGAGCUGCUAUAGUGGCGCGAUGACGAGCAGCGCGAGGUUUCAUGGACUCAGUCAGUGUUUGUAGAUGUCUUUUUUUUUUUUGUUGUCCAACAUUUCAGUGAAUGUCAUCCAGCAGGUGUUUGACGUACCGGGACAGCGCGGCGAGCUGAAAGUGUGUUCCUCGGACGUGUUUGUCAGGUCGCUCAGCACUCGGUGCGAGAAGCGAGCAGAGCCCAGGCGGCGUAUCGCUUCCAUGGCUACAUGACAUCAGGGAGUUGAAUAAAGUUUGAACACGUUACGUUUUAUUUGCAAGUAGCUUUUUUUUUCCUUAGGUGAGGCGCUGCGCCAGAGGAAACCACACAGUGAAUGCAGUAAUCAAGUUUAUUGGCAUCAACAGGUAACAAGAGUUGUAUCGAAUUUCGUGAUGCCUCCCGGUGUUUUCUUUGAUCCAACAGGAAGGUUCCGUCGGCCCCUCCCGAGAAUCUUCUCCUGUCUUCUCAGUCGUCAACCAAUCAGGUACUAUUAUGUGUUUGCAGGUCCCACGUUUAGCAGAGAAGAGGUAAGAAAGAAUAGCACAGACUAUGAGGUAUUUGUUUAGAGUGUUUUUAUUGAAACAGGUGCAGUUUGACGUGCUGAGCCUCGACCAACCAGGAGCUUUGCUGCGACGUUUUUCUUCACAAUAAAAGGUCAAAGAUUGUUUGGAGUGGUCUUCUU